UCCGUAGGGGGCAAGCGUUGUCCGGAUUUCUUGGGCGUAAAGAGCGUGUAGGCGGCCUGGUAGGUCAGCUGUGAAAACUCGAGGCUCAACCUCGAGACGCCGGUUGAAACCAUCAGGCUAGAGUCCGGAAGAGGAGAGUGGAAUUCCCGGUGUAGCGGUGAAAUGCGCAGAUAUCGGGAAGAACACCCGUGGCUAAGGCGGCUCUCUAGUACGGUACUGACGCUGAGACGCGAAAGCGUGGGGAGCGAACAGG
rnacentral:rRNA from 1 species